CCAACGUCUCAGCCAUCCAUACUCCCUUGUAUUUCUUUUUCUUUUUGUAUCCAUACUCUCUGUAUUCUCUUAUUCUUAAUUAUUAGUUAUUACUUUUGAUAAAAAAAAAGUUAUUAGUUAUUAUUAUAUUACUUCUAUGCCAUAUUGAUUUUCAUUGAUUUGGUUGAACAUCUUUACUUCAAAAUCCUCAAAUUCAAGGUUGUGUAGUAAAGGUUUCUAAUACUCACCACACGCAAAAUAAGAUACCAAAAUUGUAUUCUUGUAAAAUUUGUAUCCGAUUUUUUAGCAGAUAAAUUAAAAUAUAUCAAAUAGUAGCUGAAAAAUACAACAAAUUAAAUUGAUUUCUUUUCUACGCAUAUUUAACUUGUCUGAAUUGUUUUAGGACAAUUCUCUCAAAUAGUCAUUUUUAAGUUUUUGUCACAAAAAUAGCCCCCAAAAAAUAAAAUGAUAAAAAAUACCCUUUUUUAUUUUCAAUUUUUUUAUAUUUAUUUUUUAUUUUUAAAAAUUUGAACCCAUCC
rnacentral:lncRNA from 1 species